AGCGAACGCUGGCGGCAGGCCUAACACAUGCAAGUCGAACGAACCUUUCGGGGUUAGUGGCGGAUGGGUGAGUAACACGUGGGAACGUGCCUUUAGGUUCGGAAUAACUCAGGGAAACUUGUGCUAAUACCGAAUGUGCCCUUCGGGGGAAAGAUUUAUCGCCUUUAGAGCGGCCGGCGUCUGAUUAGCUAGUUGGUUGAGGUAAUGGCUCACCAAGGCGACGAUCAGUAGCUGGUCUGAGAGGAUGAUCAGCCACAUUGGGACUGAGACACGGCCCAAACUCCUACGGGAGGCAGCAGUGGGGAAUCUUGCGCAAUGGGCGAAAGCCUGACGCAGCCAUGACGCGUGAAUGAUGAAGGUCUUAGGAUUGUAAAAUUCUUUCACCGGGGACGGUAAUGACGGUACCCGGAGAAGAAGCCCCGGCUAACUUCGUG
rnacentral:rRNA from 1 species